AUUUAUAAAGUUUGUAAAACACUUCAUUUUCAUUGAAGAGAGAAGCAUCUUGCUUUAUAAAUA
rnacentral:tRNA from 1 species